UGGCUUUGACAGCAAAUAUACAAAAGUUGGAAAGAUACAGAGAAGAUUAGCAUGGCCCCUGUGCAAGGAUGACAUGCAAAUUUGUAAAGUAUUCGAUAUUUUU